rnacentral:rRNA from 1 species
CCUACGGGCGGCUGCAGUGGGGAAUAUUGGACAAUGGGGGCAACCCUGAUCCAGCCAUGCCGCGUGUGUGAAGAAGGCCCUCGGGUUGUAAAGCACUUUCAGUGAGGAAGAACGCCUGGUGGUUAAUACCCAUCAGGAAAGACAUCACUCACAGAAGAAGCACCGGCUAACUCCGUGCCAGCAGCCGCGGUAAUACGGAGGGUGCGAGCGUUAAUCGGAAUUACUGGGCGUAAAGCGCGCGUAGGUGGCUUGAUAAGCCGGUUGUGAAAGCCCCGGGCUCAACCUGGGAACGGCAUCCGGAAGAGUCAAGCAGCAGAGCAGGAGAGGGAGGUAGAAUUCCCGGUGUAGGGAGGAAAUGCGAAGGAAGAGGGAGGAUUAACCAUGGCGGAGCAGGCCUUAUAGACUGACUCACCCACAGGGGUGCAAAAGCAUGGGUAGAAAACAGGAUAAGAAAGAAGAGGAGGA